UUGGGUUUCCCUAGAAUCAGAUCCCAAGAUGAGAAUUCUUAUGCAAGUAGUUUGUUUGGCAGGUGAAGGAAAUACCGUGAAGGAAUGGGAAAGUGACACACAAAAAGGAAGUUAGGUUAGUCAGUAAAGAGUGAGUUAUCCAGACAUUGCCUCUUGGCGACUGAGGUUAACCACCGAAGGUGCAGAUGCAGAACGUGCACCUGAGUUGCCCUGCCUGAGGGUGAGGGAGCUGGGAUGUGUAUACACUAGCUCCUGCCCAUCAGUGGUUGAGAGAUUCACCUGGGGUGGGAGGGAGGCUCUUUGAUUCCCCAGCACUUUUGCCCUGAUGUCCCAGCAGGCAAAGCAAAAGAAAGCUCUUAGGCGAAUAACUGCAGAAUUUGGGAGUGAGAAGUAUUAAUAGUAUGGGCAAGGGAUCGGCGGCUCCCUAGACAUCUGCUGCAGACCUGUUCAGUGGGAUCCUUGGAGGACAACCGGGAGUUGAUGGCUGGUAACCAGUGGGUCUGAGCGUCUGGGAUUCGGGGAGAGGCCUCUGCUGGAGAUGGAUAUUUGUGGGGGGUUGUCAGCAUUAAGGCCAUGGGAGGGUGUGAGAUGGCCAAGGGAGAGAUCAUGGAGUGAAGAGAGAAGAGGACCCAGAAUUGAGCCCUAAAGACCAUCAGCAUUUAAAGAGGUCGAUGGAGGGAAAUGAGCCACAAAAAGAAAUAAGAAGGAGCCAGCAAGAAGGUAGAGGGAAGACCAGGUGAGUGUGAUUUGGAAGAGGGAUUUUGAGAAGUCAGAAUGACAAGGCCAUCACCAUUGCUGAGGGUGAGGUGGGCAGGCAUCCAGAUCCCAGCUGGAGGUACCCACCAACAGAGUGAAUACUCUGAACAUAGUUCCAUUUCUUCAUUUCUUUUCUCCUGAGCCAAUGAUUCAAGCUCCUCUGGCCUCAUUUUAUUUGGGUAUGGUUCACCCCACUGCCCAAAAGUCGUCUCCUUAUUCCGUAGAAGCUACCUAGCAGAUGUUUAAGGGAUCUGGGAGCAGACACUUGCCUCGCUGUCAGAAGACUGGUGUAGAACACUGUGUAAAAUGUUAGGCUGAAGGGUUGUUCAGGGUCUUCCACAAAAACGCUGACCCACCAGUAGGGCUUAAAGAGGUGUGAAAAUGUAUUUUGGUGGGAAUGUACCUUUCCCCAUGGGAAGGCCUUUUUUUUGGUUAUUGUUUAAUGUGUCUAAACUGAAGAGAUGGCGUUCAAAACCCAACAUUUUAGUUGCAAGCCAUGGGUGGAGUGACCCCUGUUGGCCAGCUUGAGAAAUGCAGGACCAGCCUAACAGAAUUCUCCUUGGCGCACUAUGGGGUCCAUCAGAAGUGGAGCACUCAGCCUAGCCCCAGGCCCUUUCAGAGGGAAAAGGGCCAUUUACUGAGUGCCAUGGAAAAAGGAUGAACCCAACUUGGCACCGGUCACCCACAUCCCUGUCUUCUCAGUUUGGGCCCAGAAGUCCUCAGGAUGGACAAGACUGACUGUGAUGGCUGGGCCUUGAUGACCCUGGACCCCCAUUCUUGAUGAUGUGAUCUUCUUUGAGAGGUCGUUGGAGGGGAAUUGGGUCUUGAAGUAAUGUCCAUAGUCUAUACCCACGGGACAUGCCCACAGCUGCCCUGUUGUGACCAGGGCCCAGACCUUUUAUAUAGAGUGCUCACUGCCCUCCAGGCCCUGCUGCCAGAUGAAGGCUGGCCAUGAGUUGGCUGUAGCAUUAGUUUCAGGUACUUAUCUCUCAUUGCAUUAUUUCCUUCUAAAGACCUGGUCAGAGGAACAGGGGAUAUUAAUCAUUAUCGUCUCAGUCACUUUAUAUUAGUAACAAGAGACUGGCUUUGGCAACACUCAGUAUCAAAUUAUCCUUCCUGCCAGCUCUCAGAGAACAGGACAGAGUUACCCCUGAUUUGUGGGUCAUUCAAACCAAAAAUUAUUUAAUAUUUAUCCCAAACACAUGCAAUUUGUCUCUAUUUACAAGGGAACUUGGUCUUAACAGUAUUCUGUUGGAAGUCUCCUUAACCAGGCUAAUCCCUGAACUGCUUUCUCCUGAUCCACCUUCUUGCUCUCAAGUGGAUCCUCACGAGCAGAGCCCUAAGGACUCCUCUCCUCCCUAGGAUGACGGAAGGACCCCCCACAUUAGGAAGCAGGAUCACAGUGUUGCUUUUAGUAGCAUCUUUUUAUUUACAAGACACUGCUGAUUCUGUAUCGUUCUGAUCUUAAGCUAAAACAAACCAGAGAUUAAAAUGAUUUUUAAAUGG
rnacentral:lncRNA from 1 species